CGCGGCGCGCCAGCUCCUCCUCCAGCCGCCCUUCCUCCACCCUGUCCCCACCUCCUGGAGGGAGGAGGCGCGGGAGCCCUCCCUGCCCUCUGAGCCCCGCUGUUGGCCGGUCGGCCCCAGAGCGAGGCGCUGCGUCACUUAAGUGCACCCACCUACGGUUACCUACUGUGUGCCAGUCACUUGUGUGGGAUCCUCAAAACCACCCGACAGGCUCCUUCCCUUCCUUCUUUCUACUGCCUGGAAUGUAGAUGAGAUGAAUUACACUCUAGCAGCCACAUCAGACCAUGAGGUGGCCAUGAGGAUGAAACUAUGUGUGAAGGCCGUGAAGCAAAAAGUCAUCUAAGCCCUGCUGACCACCAGACACUUUCUGAGAGGGCAGCACAAGCCCACCUGGACCCAGAAAGGAACAGGAAACAGCUUUCUCCUUGGAUCAAAGUUAGGAACCUGAAGGACAGAGAAAGGUGUGGUUAUACACUCAUCGAAAACCAAAGCAGUGCCCCCCUUCCCCACUUCCUUCAAGGCUGUUCUAGCUGGGGAGGUAUCAUCCCAUCAAUAGAAGAUCUGGCAUAGGCAAAAACUGAUCUCUUACCUACUACCUAAAGAGCACCUCUCGGGCAGCCCUGGUGGCGCAGAGGUUUAGCGCCGCCUUCAGCCCAGGGCAUGAUCCUGGAGACCCUGGAUUGGGUCCCACAUCAGGCUCUCUGCGUGGUGCCUGCUUCUCCCUCUGCCUGUGUCUCUGCCUCUCUUUCUCUCUCUCUGUGUCUCUAUGAAUAAAUAAAUAAAAAACCUUAAAA